rnacentral:rRNA from 1 species
AUUGAACGCUGGCGGCAUGCCUCACACAUGCAAGUCGAACGGCAGCACGGGAGCAAUCCUGGUGGCGAGUGGCGAACGGGUGAGUAAUGUAUCGGAACGUGCCCAGUCGUGGGGGAUAACGCAGCGAAAGCUGUGCUAAUACCGCAUACGAUCUAUAGAUGAAAGCGGGGGAUCGCAAGACCUCGCGCGAUUGGAGUGGCCGAUAUCAGAUUAGCUAGGUGGUGGGGUAAAAGCUUACCAAGGCGACGAUCUGUAGCUGGUCUGAGAGGACGACCAGCCACACUGGAACUGAGACACGGUCCAGACUCCUACGGGAGGCAGCAGUGGGGAAUUUUGGACAAUGGGCGCAAGCCUGAUCCAGCAAUGCCGCGUGCAGGAUGAAGGCCUUCGGGUUGUAAACUGCUUUUGUACGGAGCGAAAAGGCUCUCUCUAAUACAGGGGGCUCAUGACGGUACCGUAAGAAUAAGCACCGGCUAACUACGUGCCAGCAGCCGCGGUAA